CCUUAGAGUUUGAUCCUGGCUCAGAUUGAACGCUGGCGGCAGGCUUAACACAUGCAAGUCGAACGGUAACAGGGCUAGCUUGCUAGUCGCUGACGAGUGGCGGACGGGUGAGUAACGCGUAGGAAUCUACCAGGUAGUGGGGGACAACAGUUGGAAACGACUGCUAAUACCGCAUACGCCCUGAGGGGGAAAGGAGGGGAUCUUCGGACCUUUCGCUAUCUGAUGAGCCUGCGUGAGAUUAGCUAGUUGGUGGGGUAAUGGCCUACCAAGGCGACGAUCUCU
rnacentral:rRNA from 1 species